GGCCUGUGAUGACAGUUCCAAACAGGGCUUCUCUCAGAAACCAUUCGCAGGGCCCGUCUAGAGCUUUCGCCUUCGCCGGGCUAGAGAGCUGUUGCGGCUUCAUCCUUCCUUGGAUGUCUGAGGCC
rnacentral:snoRNA from 1 species